rnacentral:lncRNA from 1 species
GUAAUUUUCAUCCAUUUAAAAGUCGCAAAUGAAAUUUACCUGAUAUAGAAAAUCGAUUCCUUGUUGGUUGGAUUCAAUAUUUUCCGGAGUCAUCACUCUUCUUCCGCGUGGCAUGUUCCCUCUCACCACCUGCUACCCACGCCUCCUCUCCCACCUAUAUAAACCCCCUUCAACGUAUCAAGAAAACACACACAAGUUUCUUGGGCCAUUUCUAGUUCUUAGCUUUCUUCUCCUUCUUAAUCAGGCACUUUUGAGUUAAAAAACACAUUUCAAUGGCAAAUUUAAAGGCUGUUUUGAUUCUUGUAGCAGUCAUGGCAUUUUUGUCAGCUGUAAUGGCCCAAGAAGUGUCAACACGGGCACCGGCGCCAUCUCCUGACCAGGGUGCCGGAAACUUCUUGCUGGUUUCAGGGGCGAUUGUGUGUUCUUCAUUGGUUUUGUCUCUUAUGGCCUUCAUCAAGAGCUAGAUUGUUUAUCUGUCAUGUUCAGAUUCAUUCUUACUGAGGAAUGAGGAUUGGUUUCUUAUUUUACUUUUCUGGGCUAUGAUGUGAGAGUAUUUGUAUAAUUUUUAUUGACUACACAUGAUAUUAUUUAUUUGUGUUUAGGUUACACAUUUAUACAUAUACAUAUACAUAUACAUAUACAUAUGUAUAUACAUUUUGUGUCCGUAUUAUUCUUAUUCUUGGUUUUAGUUAUAGAAUUGAAUUUUGAUUGUGCUUUAAAAUUAUUUUUGAUAAACUUGAC